rnacentral:rRNA from 1 species
GACAGAGGAUGCAAGCGUUAUCCGGAAUGAUUGGGCGUAAAGCGUCUGUAGGUGGCUUUUUAAGUCCGCCGUCAAAUCCCAGGGCUCAACCCUGGACAGGCGGUGGAAACUACCAAGCUGGAGUACGGUAGGGGCAGAGGGAAUUUCCAGUGGAGCGGUGAAAUGCGUAGAGAUUGGAAAGAACACCGAUGGCGAAGGCACUUUACUGGGCUAUUACUAACACUGAGAGACGAAAGCUAGGGUAGCGAAUGGGA